rnacentral:rRNA from 1 species
AACAGGAUUAGAUACCCUGGUAGUCCACGCUGUAAACGAUGAGUGUUAGGUUCUUGGAAUAAUCUGGGAGCCGCAGCUAACGCAUUAAACACUCCGCCUGGGGAGUACGCACGCAAGUGUGAAACUCAAAGGAAUUGACGGGGACCCGCACAAGCAGCGGAGCAUGUGGUUUAAUUCGACGCAACGCGAAGAACCUUACCAAGUCUUGACAUAAUACGGAGGCAAUUAGAGAUAAUAGCUUAUCACUUCGGUGAACUGUAUUACAGGUGGUGCAUGGUUGUCGUCAGCUCGUGUCGUGAGAUGUUGGGUUAAGUCCCAUAACGAGCGCAACCCCUAUCGUUAGUUACCAUCAUUAAGUUGGGGACUCUAGCGAUACUGCCGGUGAUAAACCGGAGGAAGGUGGGGACGACGUCAAAUCAUCAUGCCCUUUAUGACUUGGGCUACACACGUGCUACAAUGGCAGAUACAGAGGGCAGCGAAAGAGUGAUCUGAAGCGAAACUCACAAAAUCUGUCCCAGUUCGGAUUGCACUCUGCAACUCGAGUGCAUGAAGUUGGAGUUGCUAGUAAUCGCGAAUCAGAAUGUCGCGGUGAAUGCGUUCCCGGGUCUUGUACACACCGCCCGUCACACCAUGGGAGUUGGCAAUACCCGAAGCCUGUGAGCGAACCAUUAGGACGCAGCAGUCGAAGGUAGGGUCAGUAACUGGGGUGAAGUCGUAACAAGGUAACC